rnacentral:rRNA from 1 species
GAUGAACGCUAGCGGCAGGCUUAAUACAUGCAAGUCGUGGGGCAGCAUGAGUGUAGCAAUACAUUUGAUGGCGACCGGCAAACGGGUGCGGAACACGUACAGAACCCUCCUUCAAGCGGGGCAUAGCCCAGAGAAAUUUGGAUUAAUACCCCAUAAUAUAAUGAAGAGGCAUCUCUUUGUUAUUAAAGAUUUAUCACUUGAAGAUGGCUGUGCGGCUGAUUAGGUAGUUGGCGGGGUAACGGCCCACCAAGCCUGCGAUCAGUAACUGGUGUGAGAGCACGACCAGUCACACGGGCACUGAGACACGGGCCCGACUCCUACGGGAGGCAGCAGUAAGGGAUAUUGGUCAAUGGACGCAAGUCUGAACCAGCCAUGCCGCGUGGAGGAUGAAGGUCCUCUGGAUUGUAAACUUCUUUUAUAUGGGACGAAAAAAGGCUUUUCUAAGUCGUCUGACGGUACCAUAUGAAUAAGCACCGGCUAACUCCGUGCCAGCCGCCGCUGUAACAC